UUAAGUGGAGAAAUAUAAAUUACGUACUUGUAGCUGUGCCAACCAAUUACCCACUUCUUCGUGGCCUUCAAGGCUAAUCUUUGCGAAGGCAAUUGAGCAUCAAAAUUCCUUGGACCUAAAAAGCUGUAAUUUGAUCUGAGCUCAAGAGACAAUUCUCUUAGCCGAGGGAAGUCUUUGCGAAGGCAAUGAGCAUCAAAAUUCCUUGGACCUAAAAAGCUGUAAUUUGAUCUGAGCUCAAGAGACAAUUCUCUUAGCCGAGGGAACUUGAUGAUGCCAUCUCUGUUAUGAGACAAAGAGACUGGGAAGACAUA
rnacentral:lncRNA from 1 species